rnacentral:rRNA from 1 species
GACGUAGGGCGCGAGCGUUGUCCGGAUUUAUUGGGCGUAAAGAGCUCGUAGGCGGCUUGUCGCGUCGAGUGUGAAAUCCUGCGGCUCAACUGCAGGCUUGCAUUCGAUACGGGCAGGCUGGAGUUCGGUAGGGGAGACUGGAAUUCCUGGUGUAGCGGUGAAAUGCGUAGAUAUCUGGAGGAAUACCGGUGGCGAAGGCGGCAUCCUGGACCAUUACUGACGCUGAGGCGCGAAAGCUAGGGGAGCAAACGGG